rnacentral:rRNA from 1 species
GACGAACGCUGGCGGCGUGCUUAACACAUGCAAGUCGAACGGUGAAGCGCCUUCCUUUUUGGUGGGUGUGGAUGAGUGGCGAACGGGUGAGUAACACGUGAGUAACCUGCCCCCUUCUUCUGGAUAACCGCAUGAAAGUGUGGCUAAUACGGGAUAUUCUGGGUCUGUCGCAUGAUGGGUCUGGGAAAGAUAUUGUUUCGGUGGGGGAUGGGCUCGCGGCCUAUCAGCUUGUUGGUGGGGUGAUGGCCUACCAAGGCGGUGACGGGUAGCCGGCCUGAGAGGGUGGACGGUCACACUGGGACUGAGACACGGCCCAGACUCCUACGGGAGGCAGCAGUGGGGAAUAUUGCACAAUGGGCGCAAGCCUGAUGCAGCGACGCCGCGUGAGGGAUGGAGGCCUGCGGGUUGUGAACCUCUUUCGCCAGUGAAGCAGGCCUGCCUCGUUUGUGGGUGGGUUGACGGUAGCUGGAUAAGAAGCGCCGGCUAACUACGUG